CCACUUUCCAACCCACAGAAGGAAAAAUGACAUUGUGGCUGCAUUUUAUUCUCCUUUUUGGAGUCACUAGAGGUGUGCAAUCAGCAGUCCAGCUGGUGGAAUCUGGAGGGGACCAAAAAAGACCUGGAGAGUCCCUCCGCCUCACCUGUCAGGCCUCCGGGUUCACCUUCAGCAGCUAUGGCAUGAGCUGGGUGCGACAGGCUCCUGGGAAGGGCUUGGAAUGGGUGGCAUAUCACUACCCAAAUGACAUCUACUACUCGGAUGCUGUGAAAGGCCGUUUCACCAUCUCCAGGGAUGAUUCCAGAAGCCAGCUGUACUUGCAAAUGAACAACCUCAAAGCAGAGGACACCGCUAUGUACUACUGUGCAAGAGACACACUGGGGGAGAGUAACUGGCCCCAUCCACCCUUUUGGGGACAGGGAUCC